GACGAACGCUGGCGGCGUGCCUAAUACAUGCAAGUCGAACGCAGUGGGGACGGGUGAGUAACACGUGGGUAACCUCCCGUCAGAGGGGAUAACACUUGGAAACAGGCGCUAAACCGAUAUGGAUUGAUGUAGCCGCGGUGCAUAAGCUAGUGGGUGGGGUAACGGCUCACCAAGGCGACGAUGCAUAGCUGGCAUGAGAGGAUGAUCGGCCACACUGGGACUGAGACACGGCCCAGACUCCUACGUGAGGCAGCAGUAGGGAAUCUUGGGCAAUGGACGCAAGUCUGACCGAGCCACGCCGCGUGAGUGAAGAAGGUUUUCGGAUCGUAAAACACUGUUGUUAGAGAAGCGGUAUCUAACCAGAAAGCACCGGCUAACUACGUGCCAGCAGCCGCGGUAAUAC
rnacentral:rRNA from 1 species